GUAUAAUCUAGUGGACGGUUCUUCAUAAACAGCUCGUCAACCACCUCGGUAGCUUGCUAGCCAACAUAGCCGAAAGAUUCAAGCUAUUUAUACGCUUUCGGUGUAUAUUACCUACUGUGUUUUAGACACACUUCUGUCCUAUCUACUUGUUAACCUAUUUAAUUUAAUAUUACGUUAAUUUUUAUUAGUCAGCUAUAGUAGCUGGCUGGUUAAAUUAGCACUAGCCUAGUCGCUAAUGAUAGCUAGCUAGCUAACAUCCCCGAACAUGAGCUCCAUAAACUUCUCCCCUCCUGUUAAAGAAGAGGAUAAGGUCUGCUGGACGGAGAAAGGAGGUCUGUGGCUGAACAUUGUCGUGAAAGAGGAGGAGGAAGAAGAGGAUGUCACAGUAAAACAAGAAGUAGAGGGUGAGGCUGUUACAGUGAAAGAGGAAGACGUUUCAUUGAAAGAAGAGGAGGACGCGUUCAGAGUUAAAGAGGAGGAAGAUGAGAAAGAGGAGGAUGUAGUUUUUGGUGUGAAAGAGGAGGGGGAGAUAACUGUCACAUUGGAGGAAGAAGAGGAGGUUGGAGAUCUGUUUAACCCCAGUUUUCUGUCCUCAGAUAAAGAGCUCUCUGAAAGCCAGUCUACAUAUGAAGAGAUCCCAAUGAAGAGCAGUGGUUCUCAGUCCUGGGGACUCAGAGGCACAUUGUUGUUUUUGUCUCAGCACUGCACAGCUGAUUCAAAUGAUCAACUCAUCAUCAAGCUUCAAGUGAUACCCUGUAACUGGAGAUUCCUUCAAAACGAUUGCCUACAGUUACCGUGUAGGGCACUGCAGGGUUGGGUGACCAGGGUCAUCUGGGACUGCCUUCUGGAGGAAUUCAGGUGUGUGAAGGCUACCUGUGUCCUGCGUAACUUCAUGAGGAUGGACACGAGGACCAGGAGGGGAUCUGCAGCUCGCCGCCGUGUCCCAGAGGAGGAGUCUGCUGCUCUGCAGGAUGUUUCAAGGAUGGAAUCCAACAACGCAGCAAGAGAGGCAAUCCGUGUGCAGGAGAUCUUCACCUCCUACUUCUUCAAAGAAGGUGCUGUUCUCUGGCAACACCAUAGACUACACUAUGCACAACCAAAGGCUCGUUUAAGAGGGUGCUGUUCCCUGGCAACACCAUAGACUACACUAUGCACAACCAAAGGCUAUUUUAAGAGGGUGCUGUUCCCUGGCAACACCAAAGGCUCUUUUAAGAGCUAUUCACAUUGCAAUAAGAGUAUUCUUCCAUUUACUUAGCUAUGUCAACUGCAGUUAUUCAAUUCACAGUUUCUCUCCCUUUGAUUUCUACUUCUCAGGUGAGGGUGCUGUUUAGGUGAGGGUGUGAUGUCUGUGCAAAAACAAAACAGGCUAUUUUAAAUCACUAAUAUUGAAGAAAUGUAGAACAAUUAGACACCCUAUAACCCACACCUACACACUCAUGUAUCAAUCUGAUUGAUGGAUUGUAUUGUGCAGUAAGCAGGCUCAGGUGUAUAACUGUGGCUCCUUCCACCUUCAAAGAAUAGGCAAGAGGGCCAACCAUGGAGAAUAGUAAGACACUUCAUUAUUUCUAUAACUACGCUAUAUUGUUUGUCCUUGUGUGUUCGUUCAUGUUUUUCAGCAUAAAGUACUCUGCAGCCACUAAGUGUGGUGUGGACACCAGGUGAGGCCACACACAGAUUCCUGUUGAACACUGUGGCUUUAACUACCUUAUUUUCUCAAUAACAGUCUCUCUCCUUCACUUCAUCCCUCUCUCCCCUUCUCCCUAAGUCCUCUAGGUUAUAUCAGCUGUGUCGGUGAACCCCUCCUGCAUCUGAACUGGCUACAUAGAGGGCACAGCAUGAUCAGAGAUAUGUUUUGAUGUGAGAGGAUGCCAACCCCCAGUCCCAUCAUCACCACCUCACCUGCUUUUAAGAUAACCUUUGUGCCGAUGUGAGACACUAUUAUGUAAUUGUGAUGAGCUGAGAGAAUAUUUAUGUAGCACUGUGAUUCAUUAAUCAUGUGCUGCCUUCCCUGCUCCUAUGUGCUUACCUCUUUCCCUUUCUGUCUUUUACACCUCUCUCUCCACCUCCUCUUUCUUCCUCUGUUUUUAUAAUGCACAACAGAUGUGCAUUGAAGUACAGAUUGAACUUGUAUUUAUAACACUUGGAUAAUGAGCUUUUCAAUAAAGCGUUUCACAUUCUC